GACGAACGCUGGCGGCGUGCUUAACACAUGCAAGUCGAACGGAAAGGCCCUGCUUUCGUGGGGUGCCCGAGUGGCGAACGGGUGCGUAACACGUGAGUAACCUGCCCUUGACUUUGGGAUAACUUCAGGAAACUGGGGCUACUAUCGGAUAGGAGCUCCUGUUGCAUGGUGGGGGUUGGAACGUUUCGGCGGUUGGGGAUGGACUCGCGGCUUACCAGCUUGUUGGUGGGGUAGUGGCUUACCAAGGCUUUGACGGGUCGCCGGCCUGAGAGGGUGACCGGCCACAUGGGGACUAAGAUACGGCCCAGACUCCUACGGGAGGCAGCAGUGGGGAAUAUUGCACAAUGAGCGGAAGCCUGAUACAGCGACGCCGCGUGCGGGAUGACGGCCUGCGGGGUGUGAACCGCUUUCGCCUGUGACGAAGCGUGAGUGACGGUAAUGAAUAAAGAAGCACCGGCUAACUACGUG
rnacentral:rRNA from 1 species